GAUGAACGCUAGCUACAGGCUUAACACAUGCAAGUCGAGGGGCAGCAUGGUCUUAGCUUGCUAAGGCCGAUGGCGACCGGCGCACGGGUGAGUAACACGUAUCCAACCUGCCGUCUACUCUUGGACAGCCUUCUGAAAGGAAGAUUAAUACAAGAUGGCAUCAUGAGUCCGCAUGUUCACAUGAUUAAAGGUAUUCCGGUAGACGAUGGGGAUGCGUUCCAUUAGAUAGUAGGCGGGGUAACGGCCCACCUAGUCUUCGAUGGAUAGGGGUUCUGAGAGGAAGGUCCCCCACAUUGGAACUGAGACACGGUCCAAACUCCUACGGGAGGCAGCAGUGAGGAAUAUUGGUCAAUGGGCGCAGGCCUGAACCAGCCAAGUAGCGUGAAGGAUGACUGCCCUAUGGGUUGUAAACUUCUUUUAGAAAGGAAUAAAGUCGGGUAUGUAUACCCGUUUGCAUGUACUUUAUGAAUAAGGAUCGGCUAACUCUGUG
rnacentral:rRNA from 1 species